rnacentral:rRNA from 1 species
UUCGCAAUGCCCGAAAGGGUGACGAAGCGACGCCGCGUGGGUGAGGAAGGCCCUCGGGUUGUAAAGCCCUGUCAGGAGUUAAGAAAUGUAAGUGUGCUAAUACCACAUUUAUUUGACGAAAGCUCCAAAGGAAGCCACGGCUAACUCUGUGCCAGCAGCCGCGGUAAUACAGAGGUGGCAAGCGUUGUUCGGUAUUAUUGGGCGUAAAGAGCACGUAGGUUGUUUUGUAAGUCAGGUGUGAAAGCCUUCUGUUCAAAGGAAGAACGGCAUCUGAAACUGCAGAUCUUGAGUAUAGGAGGGGAGAGUGGAACUUCUGGUGGAGCGGUGAAAUGCGUAGAUAUCAGAAGGAACGUCGGCGGCGAAAGCGACUCUCUGGCCUAUUACUGACACUCAGUGUGCGAAAGCUAGGGGAGCAAACGGGAUUAGGUACCCCGGUAGUCCUAGCCGUAAACGAUGGGCACUAAGUAGAGGGGUUUU